AACGCCUCCACUGAAGCACCCAUCUGGCAGGCUGGUGUGUCUGUGGGCUGCUGGAGAGUCGUGGAGUCCUGUUUCAGUGGCUCCGUUCCCCCGGUUACCGAGUGAGCCGCACUUCCCCCAGGGUUGGGCUGUCCAGGCAUAGGUGCCAGUUUCAUAACGGCCAGAGGGAGUUCCUAAGUGCCCAAUUUCGGCCUUCAGGUAACCGCCUCUUCAGAAUUUCUGGGCCUUUCUUGUGUCUAACCUCGGAGCCUACUGUAACAAGAUCACUAGAAUAAUAGUUGAUAUUUACUUUACUGUGCAUUUAUGGUGAUCUGUUUCAAGUGCUUGCUAUAUUAAUAACUAACUCUCUCACACACAUACACACUCUCACACACACAAACAGCGUGUCCCACACCACCACUGCCUGGCCCUCAGCCUCUUGAAUGAUGAAAUCACAGGCCAAUUUAGAAGUGUUAAUGUAUGAAGAAAAAGAAGAGAACCAAAGAAGAGCUUUAAUGUUAGAAACUGUAGGGUUCUGUCAGGGUAUGCGCGCCCAUCAGGAACUGUACUGGUCAGUAACUUUCUGCGGGCUGCAUGUAGCUCUGAAUUCUUCAAAUGGGAAUAUAAUACAGGUGUGAAAUGCACAUUGCAUUUCAGACCUUGUAUGGAAAAACUAUUUUUUUAAUGUUAAUUGCAUACUGAAAUAUUUUUAGAUAUGCUAGGUUAAAUAAAAUAUAUUAAAAUUUCUUGUUUUAAACCUUUUGAACAUGGGUGACAAUUUUAAAAUUAUGUAAGGGGAAGAAUGGGGCAAUGACUCCAUCUUAGAGCUUGUCAGGAAAGCUUGAGGGCCUGAAUUUGGAUCUCCAAUACCCAAUAAAAAGCCGGGCAUGGUGGUGCACACUUUUAAUCUCAACACUGAAGAGGCAGAAGCAGGUGGAUCUCUGUGAGUUCGAGGCCAGGAUGGUUUACACAGUGUGUACCAAGACAGCCAGGGCUACAUAGAUCCUGUUAAAAAAAAAAAGGGCUGGGUGCAGCAGUUUUUGCCUGUUCUCCUAACAACAUGGGGGCUGAGGCAGAAAUGAGAGGAUCCCCUGGGGUUUGCUGCUCAGUUAGUCUAAUGAAUCAGUGAGUUCUGGGUUCAAUAACAGAAAAUGUCUUGAAAGAUAAAGUCUAGAGUGAUUGAAAAAAAUAUGUAAUGUUGACCUCUGGUUCCACAAAGCCCUACACAUGUGAGCAAGCAGGUAGACAGGUACAUGAACAUGUACAGACAUAUAAGUUAUACUAACUUGUGUUUCAUUUCUUCUUUGUGACAGGGUCUCUCUGUGUACUUGUUGCUACCCUGGAAAUCAGAUCAAGCUGGCCUUGAACUCAUAAAGAGACCCACUGGCCCUCUACCUCCUGGGUACUAGGAUUAAAAUCAUACAUGUCUUUUUGUUUUGUUUUAAGCUAGUCUCUGGUGGUAUAGAUCGGGCUCCUUUCAGCUCUUCCUCUGCCUCCUGAGUGCAUUCAUUAUACUUCUAUUGAACACUGCUACUCUAGAGACAAACAGUACCAGUCUGUAGGCUUUAGAAAAACUGCUUGAAUAAAAACAGGGGGAGACAAGAUAGGUGGGUAGUGCCGAAGAUAAGAGUCCCAGGGCCUAGAACAUGCUAAGUUUGUGCUCUACCAAGCAACUGCUCUUCCAAUAGAGUGAUUUUUCCUUUUUUGAGGCAGGAUCUCUCUUUAGCCUAGGCUGGCCUCAAUUUUUCGGCAAUCCUUCUGCCUCAGAGUCCUGAGAAUGCUUUUGAGCUUGGAAUUGUCCAAGGUUCAGCAAAAGGUACCCCAAGAGUAUUUGUGGUCUGAGGUGGCCGUUCCUGGUUGCCAGCUACGUCUGGGAUGAACUACAAUCCAGAAAUGGAGGGCACACCCAUGAUCCAGAUCUUGAGGCUGGAAAAUACAGGCUUCUGACCUGGAUCUUGAGGCAUAGUGGUCAUGAAAACCUUGAGGCCCAGGCAAGGUAGUGUAUAGUUUUAAUCUCAGGAGACUAAAGCAAGCAGAUCUCUGAAUUCAAAGUCAGCCUGGGGCAAAGCAAGUUCCAGGUCCAGGCGUGGUGGUACACACCUUUAAUCUGGGCCAAGUUGUCUGCUGGAGGCCUAAAUAAGGACAAUGGAAGAAGGGAAAGGCUUUGCAGCUUUACACUCACUUGCCAGGACAUCUGGACCCUACUUACUUCUUCAGGAUUCCAGCUUAGACAGAAGACCAGCUGAAACAACUAGCCUGGUGGGACUGAGCAACUGCUAGAUAUUGGGACUUCCCAUUCACAGCUGCCCAUUGUUGGGUUAGUUGGACAGCAGACUGUAAGUCAUUACAAUAAAUUCCCUUUAAAUAUAUAAAGACAUUCCAUAAGUUCUGUGACCCUAGAGAACCCUGACUAAUACAUGGUCCAUCAAAAAGACCCAGCAAAUAAAUAGUGGAUAGUGUCGGAAAAGUCCAGGCAGGUAAAUAAAGGUUAGCAAAAGUUUGUAUCACACAAACAAUGUGUGUGGAAUGCUUAGGCCUUGUGGUAGUUGGCAUGUGAGAUUCCAGCUGUGCUCAUACAAAGACAGUAGUGUGCUACUAGUAACAAAUAUGAAUAGGGAGGAUGAGAUAGGAUGGAAAAUACUGUAACACCUUGGUCAAAACAAUAAAUGCAAAGAUGAAUUAAAGAUAGACCAAUUCUAUCCUCAGGAAAUGAUCGAUUAUAUGUAUAAACUUUUGUAUAAACAUAUGUAUGUACACACAGACUAAUUUUGUUAAUAUACACAUUUUUUUCUUAAAGAUACUUUGAUGCAUAAACAUAUAUAUC
rnacentral:lncRNA from 1 species